AGUUGAUUGAAGGGUAUGAUGACUCUUCUUGUUUUACUAAGGCUCUAUUUCAUGCCAUUAUGUGUUAGCUUUAUAGUAUUACAUUAUAUUUUCUACUGGGAGAAACUCUUAUCUAGGCAAACACCCAACACCUCAUUGUUGGGCACAACCAAUAAAAACUUUCCACAUCAUUAAAAUCAAAUAAAAUAUAAAUUGUAAAAAUCUAAAGUAACCGAACCGGUGAGGUGGCCCUUCUUCUCUCCUCUUCUUCCAUUGCCACUGUUUUCAACUACCCACCCACACUGCACACAGCUUGUUUUCGUCCACUGCGAUGGCAAGACCUUCCACCAUGAUUGAUUCCUCCUCCUCCCAUCGCACCAAUUGAAAGGAUUUCAAAUUUUAUUAUUAUAUUCAUUAUCAAUUUUUGUUCGUGCUUCUGUGGAUUCUAUUGCCAAUUUUAUUGAUAAAUUUUUAGUUGUGAAUUUGACCGUGAAUUGGAUCUAGUUCAAACCGCAUGUUCUAUUUUUCUUUAUUAAUUGUUCAAAGGUGCACUGGUUUUGUCAAAUUUGACAUUGAAAUGAAACCAUAUGUAGAUUGUAAAGUACCGAGAAGAAAGAGAGAAGAGAUUUUUUUAUGAUUUAUGAUUUAAUUGAUUUUAAUGUUGUGGAAGGUUUUUAUUGGUUGUGCCCAACAAUGAGGUGUUGGGUGUGUGCCUAGAUAAGAGUUUCACUUCUACUGGAAUGAAAGGUCUAAUAAUAUCUAACAAGAAAAAUUUGGUGUGUCUAACAUCAUAGAAGUUUCUUUUGAUUGUUUCUUUUUAAGAAAAACCGUUAUUUUUAUUACUAGCUAGGUAGGGUUUGCUACAUCUGUCGAACAAUGUCAUAUGUUCUGUUGUAAAUUAUGUUUAAUUACAAACGAGAUUUUAUAAGAAAAAGUUUAUGUGGAAUUUUCUAGUAUUUAUUUAUUUUUUUUAGUUAAAGUUGUGAAUAUUUUUACAAGGUCUUCAUUUGAAAGUUUUUCUUCAAUCAUAAACAAUGCCUCAAAAUGUUCAAUUAUUGAAUUAUAUUUUUUUGCUUAUGGUGACAGUUAUUUUAUUCCAAGUCUGGCUCACAAAACAGGAUAAAUGGUUUAAAAUUCCUAUCCUUUUCUUGUUUUGAAAUAUUUCCUCCGUGCCACAAUACAAAUCAUUUUAGCCAAAAAAAUAAAUCUUAUUUUACAUGUCCUUUUACGAUAUUAGUGAAGUAUUAAUGCAUUUCUUUUCCUAUUAUACCCCUUACUAAUAACUAUAAUUUUCCAAUUCCUGUAAUUUUAUAAAGUAAGUUAUAAUUUCUCUUUUCCAUACAAAAUUAACUAUGUUUCUUAAUUCGUGUGUCAUUUGCUAAGAUGACAUAUUUUGGGAGGGGGGAAUAGAAUUCAAAUAGGUCAAACCUGUUAAAGUUAUUCUGGCGUGAAAAGGACUAUAUACUUCCUCUCUUUUUCUGUUUACCUGUCAAAUUAUUAUUACCAUUCUAUGCUCUUUAAAUCAAGAGGCUUUAGUCAAAAAAAAAACUCAACAGGCUAAUUUCUCCUUGUGCUGUGUGCAAAUUCUUGCUUAGAUAGAAGGUAAAUUUGGGUUAUGGGUCCUAAGGAUUUAUAUUAA
rnacentral:lncRNA from 1 species